rnacentral:miRNA from 1 species
GUAAUGUGACCAAUAUAUAUAUAUAUAUAUAUGUGUGUGUGUGUGUGUGUGUGUGUGUGUGUGUGUGUAUACACACACACACACACACACACACUAUACAACACACACAC